rnacentral:tmRNA from 1 species
GGGGUCGUACUGGUUUCGAUUGGUCGUCCGAUCAGAUAGAAGCAUGUCGAGGAUGGUGGACACCUCGUAAAUCCGACACCAAACAAUAAAUGCUGACAACAACAGCGAAUAUGCACUUGCUGCCUGACCGGCAGUAAUUGCGGCCCGCUUCGGCGGGUUUAAGGUCAGAGGAUAUCGCCGCUGUACUCCUCUGGCUUCAAAGGAAGCGGCUGCACACUGUUAAGUAAAUUGUUGAGAGACAGUGCCAAGAUAAUCUCAUCAAUUCUCCGCGUACAGUUCGCCUGUCAGGAUGACACGGAAGGUAUGAAAGCAGGAUAAGCAUGUAGAAGGAUCUGUGAAAACGUUCAAGACGCGGGUUCGAAUCCCGCCGACUCCA